rnacentral:rRNA from 1 species
AAUUGUUAGUGGCAGACGGGUGAGUAAUGCGUAGGAAUCUACCUAGUAGUAUGGAAUAGCCAUUAGAAAUGAUGGGUAAUACUGUAUAAUCCCUGCGGGGGAAAGAUUUAUCGCUAUUAGAUGAGCCUACGUUAGAUUAGCUAGUUGGUAAGGUAAUGGCUUACCAAGGCUAUGAUCUAUAGCUGGCCUGAGAGGACGAUCAGCCACACUGGAACUGAGAUACGGUCCAGACUCUUACGGGAGGCAGCAGUGGGGAAUAUUGGACAAUGGGCGAAAGCUUGAUCCAGCUAUGCCGCGUGAGUGAAGAAGGCCUU